rnacentral:lncRNA from 1 species
AGGUCAUACUUGCUCUGCCACCCCACACUGCUGGCACUCCUGUCCCCCUUGCCUGCAUGCUAACAGUUGUCCUUGAACUUGGGCAUCCUUACACAAAGAGCCUCCCCUCACUCCAGUGCCUUGGCUUCCCUUGCUCACCUCUUCCUCCCUAAUCCUGAGUCCAGGGAAGAUACUGCUGUUGCAUCUUCUGGUACCUAGGCCCUGACAGCCUGCUCCGGCUAUCGACGAUGGUCGCGGAGCGGCAAGCAGAGACUGCAGCGUGGUGACCUUAUACGGACUGGCCCGGCGGGCGCAAGUGCCAGGGCGCCACAGCGGUGCUGAGCUCAGCUCCUUUCCUCCUGCUGCAUGCUGGGCUGCUACCGGCAUCCACUGCCUCGCGUUCGGCCACGGUGGGUGUAAGCUACCUGCCCUACACUGAGCGUGGAGACCACUCUCCUGCUUUAUGUUAGCGACUUCGCUCCUCGGCGGCGGGACAUUCAUCUUGCGUGGCAGGCGCUCCCGAGGGGCAGGACGGGUGCGGCCUCCCCCUUAUCGCUGAACAGCAGCCGGCGAAGCUCGCCGUAGGGGGUGGGGGGCGAGGGUUCCCUACCAGCCACACCGCUAGUCCGGGCUCCUUCCCAGAGGGGAACGGCUGAGGCGCAGCCGGAGGCGUCAGGCCAAUUAGCAUUUUGAUUGCUGGACUGAGGUGGGGGGUUCAUCUGGAACAAGGUCUAAUUACCAGACGGACCCUCAGGGCUCAGGCAGGCUCGAUUCCCACCCCCUCUCCGUUUGCUCCCUUCUCCUGGACAUUGUCCCCUCUUCUAACCCUAUACUCCCACUUCUAGGUCCCCUCACAGGCCCAGUCAUUCUGUCUAGCUCUGUCCCAUACUUUGCCCCUCGGGUCCCUUCUUUCUUAGUAGUGGUCCUUUGCCCAGCCAGUCUUUCCUGGGUCUGUUCUGAGUCCCAUUCCUCUGCUGCUCUGUCCUCGGCCCUCUUUUCUCCACCUCUUCUUACAAUCUCUGUCCUUAUGUUGUGUAUACAUCCCUUCCUCCUUUUUGUCCAUCUCCCAUCUCCUUUGGCCCCUAACCCUCCUUGAUGGAAGAGACCAUGUGCGGACACAUAUGAGCUUGGGUCUCAGGGCCAGGCAGUAUCAAAUGAACCAUUCAAACGGGCCUUGCUCUGGCUGUGAUGGAUCUCUCAGGACUCCUCCCCCCACGGAGGGUAGAGGGGCACACAGCUAGGAGGGGCAGCUGGGUCCAGGCCAUGGCCAUCAGUCCCCACCAGCCCAGGUACAUGAUGCACAUGGGGCCUGUGCAAUUACUCGGGCUUUCCACAUGGGCUCCUUGUGAACCUGACUCCCUGUCCCCACGUCCCCUUUCACAUCUAAAGGUUUCCCAGACCCUUGGCCAAGCCAGAGAGAUUGAGAAACUGUUGAACACUCAUUUUGACAAGUUGUAGGCACCUUUACCCAAGGCCCCAUUGAGUCUCUGAGAGUCUCAACGACUCUUCUGAGAAUCAAAGUCAGCCCCCAGCGAGUGGAUAACUACAGGCCCUAUUAGGCUGCCUUUCUAGCAACUCCCACAUCUCCUGCUAUUCUGGCCCAAUUUGCUCUGCCCUUAUCCCUUUCCUAUGAAUGUGUAGUCUAUACAGGAUUGCUCUAU